GCAGCAUACGCCGAGCCGGUUUUUGAGCGCUAACGUCUUUCUGUCUCCCCGCGGUGGUGAUGACGGUGAAAACCGAGGCUGCUAAGGGCACCCUCACUUACUCCAGGAUGAGGGGCAUGGUGGCAAUUCUCAUCGCUUUCAUGAAGCAGAGGAGGAUGGGUCUGAACGACUUUAUUCAGAAGAUUGCCAAUAACUCCUAUGCAUGCAAACACCCUGAAGUUCAGUCCAUCUUGAAAAUUUCCCAACCUCAGGAGCCUGAGCUUAUGAAUGCCAACCCUUCUCCUCCAGUAAGUUUUUCUAUGUGCCGUGCAUCUGUGGAGAACUGUAAGGGAGUCAGUUAGUAUUCCUACAUUAAUGGAUUAAAAUAGCAUUUCUAGAAAUUAGUAUCAAGGCAGGAAUGCUUCAUUACUUUAUGGCAUAACAAGUGAUACAAAUAUUUAAGUAAUGAGUCAGAGUAUUACUUUAUUUUUUCCUGGGCAUAUUUUACCUCCAAAGUGGUUAUUUUAAAAGGCAUAUUUUAUAAAAAGGUUUUAUCUGUCUGAAACAACAUGAUUGUGUGCAGUUUCCAUACUCAUUUGAAAUGUGAUGAAAUGUAG
rnacentral:sRNA from 1 species